rnacentral:misc_RNA from 1 species
GAUGAAGACGUAGCGAAAUGCGAUACGUAAUGUGAAUUGCAGAAUUCAGUGAAUCAUCGAGUCUUUGAACGCACAUUGCGCCCCCUGGUAUUCCGGGGGGCAUGCCUGUCCGAGCGUCAUUGCUGCCCUCAAGCCCGGCUUGUGUGUUGGGUCUCGUCCCCCUUCCCGGGGGGACGGGCCCGAAAGGCAGCGGCGGCACCGCGUCCGGUCCUCGAGCGUAUGGGGCUUUGUCACCCGCUCUGUAGGCCCGGCCGGCGCUUGCCGAUCAACCAAACCUUUUUUCCAGGUUGACCUCGGAUCAGGUAGGGAUACCCGCUGAACUUAAGCAUAUCAAUAAGCGGAGGA